rnacentral:rRNA from 1 species
UACGUAGGGGGCUAGCGUUGUCCGGAAUCAUUGGGCGUAAAGCGCGUGUAGGCGGUUCGGUAAGUCCGCUGUGAAAGUCGGGGGCUCAACCCUCGAAUGCCGGUGGAUACUGUCGGACUAGAGUACGGAAGAGGCGAGUGGAAUCCUGGUGUAGCGGUGAAAUGCGCAGAUAUCAGGAGGAACACCAAUUGCGAAGGCAGCUCGCUGGGACGGUACUGACGCUGAGGCGCGAAAGCGUGGGGAGCAAACAGG